rnacentral:rRNA from 1 species
CAGUAGCCACGGUAAUACGAAGGGUGCAAGCGUUAAUCGGAAUUACUGGGCGUAAAGCGUGCGUAGGCGGUUUGUUAAGUCUGUUGUGAAAUCCCCGGGCUCAACCUGGGAAUGGCAAUGGAUACUGGCAAGCUAGAGUGUGUCAGAGGAUGGUGGAAUUCCCGGUGUAGCGGUGAAAUGCGUAGGGAUCGGGAGGAACAUCAGUGGCGAAGGCGGCCAUCUGGAACAACACUGACGCUGAGGCACGAAAGCGUGGGGAGCAAACAGGAUUAGAUACCCCAGUAGUCCCUGUCUCUUAUAA